rnacentral:tRNA from 1 species
GCCUGGCUGGCUCAGUUGGUAGAGCAUACAACUCUUGAUCUUGAGGUUGUGAGUUUGAGUCCCAUGCUGGGUA